GGCGUAGGGUGCGAGCGUUGUCCGGAUUUAUUGGGCGUAAAGAGCUCGUAGGCGGCUCGUCGCGUCGACCGUGAAAACCCGCGGCUUAACUGCGGGCUUGCGGUUGAUACGGGCGGGCUAGAGUUCGGUAGGGGAGACUGGAAUUCCUGGUGUAGCGGUGAAAUGCGCAGAUAUCAGGAGGAACACCGGUGGCGAAGGCGGGUCUCUGGGCCGAUACUGACGCUGAGGAGCGAAAGCGUGGGGAGCGAACAGG
rnacentral:rRNA from 1 species